rnacentral:pre_miRNA from 1 species
CAUGCACCAGUGGGGUCCCUUGGCCUGGCCUGCAGGAUUCGGCCAAAACAGGCUCUCCAACAUGAGGAGUUCCAGAUUGUGAGAGGGUGCAGGCCAGGCUGAGGGACCCCACUGGUGCACA